rnacentral:rRNA from 1 species
UUAAGUUAAUAAGGGCGUACAGUGAAUGCCUUGGCACUAGAAGACGAAGAAGGACGCGACUACCUGCGAAAAGCGACGGGGAGCUGGAAGUGAGCUUUGAUCCGUCGAUAUCCGAAUGGGGAAACCCGGCACGAUUUAUCUCGUGUCAUCUUGCGAGGAAUCUAUAUUCGCAAUGAAGAAACACCCAGUGAAUUGAAACAUCUUAGUAGCUGGAGGAAAAGAAAGAUUUAAUCGAUUCCGUCAGUAGCGGCGAGCGAAAGCGGAACAGCCCAAACCAACCUUAGGGUUGGGGUGUGGACCACAAUGUGGGAUGUGUGUUGAUGAAGGAGAAAGGCCUGGGAAGGCCUGCCAUAGUGGGUGAUAGCCCCGUAUCCGUAAGAUCAAUACCCCCUAGUGAGAUCCUGAGUACGGCGAAACAAGUUAUUUUGUCGGAAGGAGCGCAGACCACUGCGCAAGGCUAAAUACUAACUAGUGACCGAUAGUGAACCAGUACUGUGAAGGAAAGGUGAAAAGAACCCCGGGAGGGGAGUGAAAAGAAUCUGAAACUGUAUGCUUACAAAAAGUUAGAGCCCGUUAAAGGGUGAUAGCGUGCCUAUUGAAGAAUGAACCGGCGAGUUAUGAUGUGAUGCAAGGUUAAGCCGAAGAGGUGGAGCCGCAGCGAAAGCGCGUCUGAAUAGGGCGAAAGUAUCCCGUCAUAGACCCGAAACCCGACGAUCUAUCCAUGAGCAGGUUGAAGGUGGAGUACAAUCCACUGGAGGACCGAACCGACGUUCGUUGAAACGCCCGCGGAUGACUUGUGGAUAGGGGAGAAAUUCCAAUCGAGUUGGGAGAUAGCUGGUUCUCCUCGAAAUAGCUUUAGGGCUAGCGUAUGAUCAAUUGUUUGGUGGAGGUAGAGCACUGAAUGCCUGAUGGCCGCACCUAGCGGUACUGAAUGCAAUCAAACUCCGAAUUCCAUCAAAUCUACUCAUGCAGUCAGUCUGUGGGGGAUAAGCUCCAUGGACAAAAGGGAAACAGCCCAGACCAUCAAAUAAGGUCCCUAAAUUCAUGCUAAGUGUUAAAGGAUGUAGAGAUACUUAAACAGCUAGGAUGUUGGCUCAGAAGCAGCCACCAUUUAAAGAGUGCGUAACAGCUCACUAGUCGAGCGUCUCCGCGCCGAAGAUUUACCGGGGCUAAAGCAUGAUACCGAAUUUAUGGAUUUUAGAGUAAUCUAAAGUGGUAGAGGAGCGUUCCAUUUGCGGCGAAGCAAUACCGUAAGGAGUUGUGGAGCAUAUGGAAGUGAGAAUGCCGGUGUAAGUAACGAUAAUGGGUGAGAAUCCCAUUCACCAUUAGACUAAGGUUUCCUGGGGAAGGUUCGUCCUCCCAGGGUUAGUCGGGACCUAAGGCGAGGCCGAAAGGCGUAGUCGAUGGACAGCAGGUUUAUAUUCCUGCACCCGAAUAUAUGCGAUGUAGUGACAGAAAAGGCUAGUUGAUCCCUAUUAUUGGAUUUAGGGCAGAGCGGAGGACCUGUUGGAUUGGCAAAUCCGUCCAACAUUAAGGAAAGCCGUGCGGGAGCGAACAGGGCAACCUAAGUAGUGAAGUCAAUGAUGCCAGUUCUCUAGAAAAGCUGCUAGCUUAAGUAUAUUCGGCCCGUACCGAGAACGGACACACGUGGUCAAGGAGAGUAUCCUGAGGUGAGCGAGUUAACUGUUGUUAAGGAACUCUGCAAAAUUACUUCGUAAGUUCGCAAGAAGAAGUGCUCUCGAAAGAGAGUCGCAGUGAAGAGGCCCAGGUAACUGUUUAACAAAAACACAGCUUUAUGCUAAGCCGCAAGGCGAUGUAUAUGAGGUGAUGCCUGCCCAGUGCUGGAAGGUUAAAAGGAGGAGUUAGCCGCAAGGCGAAGCCCUGAUCUGAAGCCCCAGUGAACGGCGGCCGUAACUAUAACGGUCCUAAGGUAGCGAAAUUCCUUGUCAGGCAAGUUCUGACGCGCACGAAUGGUAUAAUAAUCUGGGCGCUGUCUCGACAGCAGACUCGGUGAAAUCUUAAUACCUGUGAAGAUGCAGGUUACCCGCGACUAGACGGAAAGACCCCAUGGAGCUUUACUAUAACUUAAUAUUGAUUGUCUGUGCUUUAUGCACAGGAUAGGUAGGAGACUUUGAAGCAGGAACUUUGGUUUCUGUGGAGUCAACCUUGGGAUACUACUCUUAAAUUGCGGACAAUCUAACCUACAACCUCACCGGUUGGGGAACAGUGUUAGGCGGGUAGUUUGACUGGGGCGGUCGCCUCCCAAAGUGUAACGGAGGCGCCCCAAGGUACCCUCAGUACGGUUGGAAAUCGUAUUUCGAGUGCAAAGGCAUAAGGGUGCUUGACUGCGAGACCUACAAGUCGAGCAGGGACGAAAGUCGGGCUUAGUGAUCCGGCGGUUCCGCGUGGAAGGGCCGUCGCUCAACGGAUAAAAGCUACCCUGGGGAUAACAGGCUGAUCUGAUCCAAGAGUUCACAUCGACGAUCAGGUUUGGCACCUCGAUGUCGGCUCAUCACAUCCUGGAGGGGAAGUACCUUCCAAGGGUUGGGCUGUUCGCCCAUUAAAGUGGUACGCGAGCUGGGUUCAAAACGUCGUGAGACAGUUUGGUCCCUAUCUGUCGUGGGCGCAGGAAGUUUGAGUGGAUCUGUCCUUAGUACGAGAGGACCGGGAUGGACAUAGCAAUGGUCUAUCGGUUGUCACGCCAGUGGCAUGGCCGAGUAGCUACCUAUGGAAUGGAUAAACGCUGAAAGCAUCUAAGCGUGAAGCCAGCCACAAGAUGAGACUUCCCAUUCGCAAGAAGUAAGACCCCCGCAAUGUUAGCGGGUUGAUAGGUCAGAGAUGUAAGUGC